UCACUUAGCCUUUGUGAGCCCCUUUUCUCUCCAUAAAAUGUAGAAAGGUACAUAUGUAAUAUCUACUUCACGGGGAAGUGAUGAGACCAAAUGUGAUUGUGUAUCCAUUGUGCUCUGCAAACCUUCAAGUGCUACUAUAUACAUGGGAGUUAUUAUAUGGUUCUCCUUUAUUUCUACUUCCAGCCCCCUCAGACCAUGAAAAGGUAAAAUCCUUUCUGUCUGGGUCCAAGGUUCAGCCCUUUGCUUCAUAAAAAAGCUGCUAUCCCUACAAGCCACCUACACUCUUAACUUCUCCGCUUCUUCAUAAUUUCCCCAAACUCCAGCUCUGUGAUGAGCAUCCAGUUUGCUUCCAUCUAGUCUUUUGUGAUUGAGGCUCACCAACCAUCUCUGUUUCUAUUUUUAAAUGCUUUCUUAGUUGGCUGACCUAAGCCCUCCAACGCUGAUCAUCAGUCCUGUGUUCUUGCAAGUCCCAUCCUCCUAUACCAUAUCCCCUUCAAGGCUUAAUCUCUCUCAAAACGUGAGAGAAUUCAACAGAGCAAUAUGUUAAGCAGCACUUAACAAUUUCUCUGCUUAGGGGUGUGUAGGUGUGUGUGUGUUGCCAAGUCCCUCAUGAAGCCUUCCUGGAUAUCCCUGUUAGCUCCUUUAAUCUUCUAAGUUUCACUGCUCCUAUUCACUUGAAUCAUUAUUUAACUUAUUUGUGUAGUUCUUUCAGAAUAUCCCUAUGUUAGAUUCCAAGUUUCUCAAGGGCAAGGGUUUUGUUUUUGGGUUUAUCUGUAUCCCCAGAACCUAGCACGGUGCUUUGCACAUGGCAGGUGCUUAAUGUUUGUUGAACUGAAAUGAAUCUCAGAAAUAUUUCCAAAUCCACAAAUGAAUUUGGUUAGGAUUUAUUUUGUUGUUGCUGUUGAUAUUCCAUUGGUUUAUUUUUAAGAAAUAAAAAUUGUGACAAGGUCGAAAACUGUUUUUAGGGAGGGGUGCCUCCCCUUUCAAGUAUGAGAGGGCAGAAGGCACAAUCAAAGACCCAGCAAGAGCAUGGGUCCAGGCCACCCACCGAGGGGCCAGGGUGGGGUCCUAGAAGCUUGUGUCAAAACCGAGCUCCCCUCCCCGCACCUCCCGGGACUCACAGACCGAAGCCAGACUGCAUCCCUCCGCUCUGCCCCCUACCCUCUACUUCCCGCAUCUCGCUGCCCACGGGGACGCUCUGCCAGGCGGCCCAACCUUCUCACCUGACGACAAGGACGGGGUGGAAGGGGAGGCAGGGGAGAGAGUGAAGACAAGGACGCUCGAUCGCAAGGACGUUUUAACCCUUCCCCAGCCGGUGCCCUUCCAGACUCGGGUUAACCCCUGGUGGGCCGGGAGGCAGCGGGGCUCGCCAAAGAUUGGGGCCAGCCUGGGCCCAGGGAGGGCGGAGUCCCCGCCCCCUGGCGCAGCGGGCUGCGGAGACAGAUGGGGAGCCACCUGUCAAGCAGGCUGUGGCCGCGGGGCACGAAGGGCGCGGGCCGCCCCGCGGUAAGCGCACGCUCAGAGAAGCCGCCGGCCCAGACGAGAGGUCGCGGAGGAGCCAUGGAGAGGGAUGCUGGAAGCUGACGGCCGGACUGGCCCGCCGAGGAGCGGACGCGGGGGGCUCCCUCACAGACGAGCGCCCGGAAAGCCGACAGCUGGGGAGGCGGGCCGAGGCGGCGCCGCGAAGCGGCUGCCCUGCCGGCCAGAGCGGGGGUGCCAUGUCUCGGGAGAGGCCCCCCCGCACCGACAUACCCCGCAACCUCAGCUUCAUCGCGGCGCUGAGUGAGCGCGCCUACUACCGCAGCCAGCGGCCCAGCCUGGAGGAGGAGCUGCAGCCAGAGGAGGAGGAGCCGGAGCCCCGCGAGGGGGGCGGGGCGCGCCUCAGGCCUCGCUCCCGCGCCUUAGCCCCCGGGCGGGGCAGGCGGGCCCGUUCUGCCCCCGCUGGAGGGGGCACCCGGGCCCCGCGCAGCCGCAGCCCGGACACCCGCAAGCGGGUGCGCUUCGCCGACGCGCUGGGGCUGGAGCUGGCGGCUGUCCGCCGUUUCAGCCCUGGGGAGCUUCCUCGCGUGCCCCGCCACGUGCAGAUCCAGCUGCAGCGCGACGCCCUCCGGCACUUCGGGCCCUGUCCCCCCAGAACCCGCAGCCUCCAGGAGGCGCGCGCUGCCCUCGAGCCCGCCCGCGAGCCCGGCUUCGCCACCCGCCUGCAGGCCCAGCGCAUAUGCCUGGAACGAGCAGAGGCGGGCCCGCUGGGCGUGGCUGGGAGCGCGCGCGUGCUGGACCUGGCCUACGAGAAGCGCGUGAGCGUGCGCUGGAGCGCGGACGGUUGGCGCAGCCAGCGCGAAGCUCCCGCCACCUACGCAGGCCCGGCUCCGCCCCCGCCGCGUGCAGAUCGAUUCGCCUUCCGCUUGCCGGCCCCGCCCACUGGGGGCUCUUUGCUUUUCGCUCUGCGCUACCGCGUAACAGGUCUUGAGUUCUGGGACAACAACGGCGGCCGCGACUACGCACUCCGGGGCCCCGACUCCCCCGGUGGCAGUGGCGACCCGGAACCCCAAGGCUGGAUCCACUUUAUCUGAGCGCGGAAAGGGAAACCCAGGGAUCAGGAGAAAGAGUAGCAGAGCCUUGAGGAGAUGCCAAGGACCCUCCAGCUUAGUAGUCUGACUGUAAAAAUUGAAGCCCCAGCAUCUGGCCAGUCCUUUGGGUGGCUCUUUGCAACAUCUGGGCUAGGUGUGCUACAGUAAUGGAACCAAUUAAGAACAUCCACAACACCUUUUAGCCUCCUCCUUCAAAGAACCCUUCCUUGUCCCUUACUAGUCACUUGCUGUCUUUAUAAUGCAUUCAAGGAGUCCCUUUCUCCUGAAGCUAGGUUGUCCAGAGUGUCUUAAAAAGAAUAUUGUCCCUGAGAGGGAAUUCACUGCUCAGAAGCCCCAGGUACUAGGUGACUCCAAGGGUUCUGACUCUUCCUUAAUAAGGGAUGACUGGGGCAAGGAAAAACAUCUCACAUCUAUUAAUUAAGAAUAACAAAGUAGUCUGAAGGGGAAGUGCAGAAUGUAGAAACUGAUGCAUAAUGCUGGGAAAUGGAAAGAAGGGCCAGCUCUAUCUUGCCCAGUCAUAAUGUCUCCUGAACAAGCGACUCUUUACUUGGGCAUUUCCCCUUCCUGCUAUUCUUUUCUGCUUGCUUCUUUGUUUCUCAACUCUUUACUGUCUUUUCCCUUUCUUGUUUUUAAUCCCUCUUCCUAUCUCUUCUCUCCCUGCCUCCCCUCUCUUCCCUCACCCUAUCCAUCUCUUCUCUGCUUUUCCUUCUUCCUCCAGAAGGAAUGAAGAGUUUGCUUGCUGAUCUCCCAGACUCUGAGCCAUUUGCCCUCUUCUGUCCUCAGACCUCCCUCUUGGAAGUCUUCCAGAGGCGAGGUGGGAAGAAGGCAAACAGCAGUUUCUUCUUGGUGACCCAGAAGAACCCUGUUUCCCCAGCCCUUGUCUUCCAUUUUAUUGGAGGUGAUAAUGAGCAGUGAAGUUGCCUGAAGACUCUGAAUCCAUGACUCUAUCAGCAGCAGAUGAGAGGAAAUUUAAAUCGGCUGAAUGUACGCUUGCAUCCUCACCAUGCCCUCACAUCCUAUAACACUAUGACUCCAGCUCCAGCAUGACAAUAUGCCCCCCACCUCUGUAUUUUCAUAUCUUGCACCUGAUUCUGGACCACCUGUCUGAACACAACACCCUUCCCUUACCUCUUUUCCAGAUAUAAAAACUUAUUUUUCUAACCAAUAAAAAAUAGAGUUAAAAUGGAAUCUCUGAA